GGUUCGAUCCUGGCUCAGAUUGAACGCUGGCGGGAUGCUUUACACAUGCAAGUCGAACGGCACGGACUUCGGUCUGGUGGCGAGUGGCGAACGGGUGAGUAAUGUAUCGGAACGUGCCUAAAGUGGGGGAGAUAACUACGCAGUAGUGGAAGCACGACGCAUUUACUUACCUUCGGGAAAGCGGGGACUCCCGGGCCUGCACUAUAGAGUGGGCCGAUGAUAUCGGAUUAGCUAUAUUGGUGGGGUAACGGCUCACCAAGCGACGAUCCGUAGCUGGUUUGAGAGGACGACCAGCCACACUGGGACUGAGAUACGGCCCAGACUCCUACGGGAGGCAGCAGUGGGGGAAUUUGGACAAUGGGGGAAACUGAUCCAGCCAUCCUGGGCGUGUGCGAUGAAGGCCUUCGGGUUGUAAAGCACUUUUGGCAGGAAAGAAACGGCACGGGAUAACACCGUGCAACUGACGGUACCUGCAGAAUAAGCACCGGCUAACUACGUGCCAGCAGCCGCGGUAAUACGUAGGGUGCAAGCGUUAAUCGGAAUUACUGGGCGUAAAGCGUGCGCAGGCGGUUCGGAAAGAAAGAUGUGAAAUCCCAGAGCUUAACUUUGGAACUGCAUUUUUAACUACUUCGAGCGAGAGGGUGCAAGUCGGGGAGGGAGGUGGAAUUCGCAGCAGUGAAAUGCGUAGAUAUGCGGAGGAACACCGAUGGUUGGACAUAGCUCCUGGGGAUAAUACAUCACUGCCUCAUGGAACGAGUGCGCGAAUGGGGAGCAAACAGGAUUAGAUACCCUGGUAGUCCACGCCCUAAACGAUGUCAACUAGCUGUUGGGGCCUUCGGGCUCGGUAGCGCAGGCUUAAUUUAUGGGAAGUUGACCGCUUGGGGAGUACGGUCGCAAGAUUAAAACUCAAAGGAAUUGACGGGGACUCCGCACAAGCGGUGGAUGAUGUGGGAUUAAUUCGAUGCAACGCGAAAAACUCCACUACCCUUGACAUGUCUGGAAUCCCGAAGAGAUUUGGAGUGUUUCAAGAGAACCGGAACACAGGUGCUGCAUGGCUACCGCUCAGCUCGUGUCGAGAUGUUGGGUUAAGUCCCGCAACGAGCGCAACCCUUGUCAUUAGUUGCUACGAAAGGGCACUCUAAUGAGACUGCCGGUGACAAACCGGAGGAAGGUGGGGAUGACGUCAAGUCCUCAUGGCCCUUAUGGGUAGGGUCACACGUCAUACAAUGGUCGGGACAGAGGGUCGCCAACCCGCGAGGGGAGCCAAUCCCAGAAACCCGAUCGUGAACCGGAUCGCAGUCCGCAACCGACUGCGUGAAGUCGGAAUCGCUAGUAAUCGCGGAUCAGCAUGUCGCGGUGAAUACGUUCCCGGUCUUGUACACACCGCCCGUCACACCAUGGGAGUGGGUUUUACCAGAAGGUGGAAGCUGGUCAAAGUAACCGUAAGGAGGGCGAUUACCACGGUAGGAUUCAUGACUAUGAAGUCGUAACAAGGUAG
rnacentral:rRNA from 1 species